rnacentral:rRNA from 1 species
UUGGCACUAGGAGCCGAUGAAGGACGUGAUAAGCUGCGAUAAGCUUCGGGGAGUUGCACGUAAACUUUGAUCCGAAGAUUUCCGAAUGAGGAAACUCACUUAGAGUAAUGUCUAAGUAUCAUUAAGUAAAUACAUAGCUUAAUGAGGGGAACUCAGGGAACUGAAACAUCUAAGUACCUGAAGGAAGAGAAAGAAAUUCGAUUCCGUAAGUAGCGGCGAGCGAACGCGGAUUAGCCCAAACCAAUAAAGUUUUCUUUAUUGGGGUUGCGGACAUAUCAUAACGAAGAGGUAUCGUAAUUGAAGAGGUUUGGAAAGACCCACCACAGAAGGUAAUAGUCCUGUAUGUUAAACGAGAAGACUUCAGAUAUGAUCCAGAGUACCACGGGACACGUGAAACCCUGUGGGAAGCAGGAGGGACCACCCUCCAAGGCUAAAUACUACCUAGUGACCGAUAGCGUAUAGUACCG